UGUGUUAUAGAAGUUCAAAUAGGCCAUUAGAUGGUCCAUUUCUAACAUUAUCGAAAUUCCACCUGGAAUUUGUACUCAUAAAAUCUAGCUUGAGAUAGAAGGUAUACCUAGAGUUAAGAAUCAAUGAAGAUUGAACCCACCAAUGGAAGAGGUUGUGAAGGAAUAGAUGUAGGAGUGGUUUAUCCUAUCACCGAUAGCAAAUGGGCGGGCUCAAUUAAAUGUAUGACAAAGAGGG
rnacentral:lncRNA from 1 species